AAGCGUAAUAGCUCACUGGUCGAGUCGGUCUGCGGGGAAGAUUUAACGGGGCUAAGCAGUGAACCGAAGCUUGGGGUGCAUAACUUUGUUAUGCGCGGUAGAGGAGCGUUCCGUAAGCCGUUGAAGGUGGAUUGAGAAGUCUGCUGGAGGUAUCGGAAGUGCGAAUGCUGACAUGAGUAACGAUAAUGCGGGUGAAAAACCCGCACGCCGAAAGCCCAAGGUUUCCUUGCGCAACGUUAAUCGGCGCAGGGUGAGUCGGCCCCUAAGGCGAGGACGAAAGUCGUAGUCGAUGGGAAGCAGGUUAAUAUUCCUGCACCUCGCGUAAGUGCGAUGGAGGGACGGAGAAGGUUAGGUGUACCAGGCGUUGGUUGUCCUGGGGAAAGGCGGUAGGUUUGGAUCUUUGGCAAAUCCGGGAUCCUUUAAGACCGAGCACCGAGACGAGUCUUUAAGACGAAGUCACUGAUACCACGCUUCCAGGAAAAGCUCCUAAGCUUCAGCUUACGCAGACCGUACCGUAAACCGACACAGGUGGGUAGGAUGAGAAUUCUCAGGCGCUUGAGAGAACUCGGGUGAAGGAACUAGGCAACAUGGCACCGUAACUUCGGGAGAAGGUGCACCCUUUUUGGUGGCUCGUGCGAGCUAUAGCUGAAGAGGGUCGCAGUAACCAGGCCGCUGCGACUGUUUAUCAAAAACACAGCACUCUGCAAACACGAAAGUGGACGUAUAGGGUGUGACGCCUGCCCGGUGCUGGAAGGUUAAUUGAUGGGGUCAGCCGCAAGGCGAAGCUCUUGAUCGAAGCCCCAGUAAACGGCGGCCGUAACUAUAACGGUCCUAAGGUAGCGAAAUUCCUUGUCGGGUAAGUUCCGACCUGCACGAAUGGCGUAACGACAGCGGCGCUGUCUCCACCCGAGACUCAGUGAAAUUGAAAUCGCUGUGAAGAUGCAGCGUUCCCGUGGCAAGACGGAAAGACCCCGUGAACCUUUACUAUAGCUUUACACUGAACGUUGAGUUCGUCUGUGUAGGAUAGGUGGGAGGCUAUGAAACUGUGGCGCUAGCUGCAGCGGAGCCAUCCUUGAAAUACCACCCUGUCGUGCUUGACGUUCUAACCUGGGCCCAUUAUCUGGGUCGGGGACCGUGUAUGGUGGGUAGUUUGACUGGGGCGGUCUCCUCCUAAAGAGUAACGGAGGAGCUCGAAGGUACGCUCAGCGCGGUCGGACAUCGCGCACUGUGUGCAAAGGCAUAAGCGUGCUUGACUGCAAGAUCGACGGAUCAAGCAGGUAGGAAACUAGGACUUAGUGAUCCGGUGGUUCUGUAUGGAAGGGCCAUCGCUCAACGGAUAAAAGGUACUCCGGGGAUAACAGGCUGAUACCGCCCAAGAGUUCAUAUCGACGGCGGUGUUUGGCACCUCGAUGUCGGCUCAUCACAUCCUGGGGCUGUAGUCGGUCCCAAGGGUAUGGCUGUUCGCCAUUUAAAGUGGUACGCGAGCUGGGUUCAGAACGUCGUGAGACAGUUCGGUCCCUAUCUGCCAUGGGCGUUGGAGAUUUGAGAGGGGCUGCUCCUAGUACGAGAGGACCGGAGUGGACGAACCUCUGGUGUUCCGGUUGUCACGCCAGUGGCAUUGCCGGGUAGCUAUGUUCGGAAGCGAUAACCGCUGAAAGCAUCUAAGCGGGAAGCGCGCCUCAAGAUGAGAUCUCCCGGGGCACAAGCCCCCUGAAGGAACCAUGUAGACUACGUGGUUGAUAGGUCAGGUGUGUAAGUACAGCAAUGUAUUGAGCUAACUGAUACUAAUGAUCCGAGAGGCUUGACC
rnacentral:rRNA from 1 species